rnacentral:rRNA from 1 species
UACGGGGGGGGCAAGCGUUGUUCGGAAUUACUGGGCGUAAAGGGCUCGUAGGCGGCCAACUAAGUCAGACGUGAAAUCCCUCGGCUCAACCGGGGAACUGCGUCUGAGACUGGAAGGCUUGAAUCCGGGAGAGGGAUGUGGAAUUCCAGGUGUAGCGGUGAAAUGCGUAGAUAUCUGGAGGAACACCGGUGGCGAAGGCGGCAUCCUGGACCGAUAUUGACGCUGAUGCGCGAAAGCCAGGGGAGCAAACGGG